GGGGAUGUAGCUCAUAUGGUAGAGCACUCGCUUUGCAUGCGAGAGGCACAGGGUUCGAUUCCCUGCAUCUCCA
rnacentral:tRNA from 2 species